UACGAAGGGGGCUAGCGUUGCUCGGAAUCACUGGGCGUAAAGGGUGCGUAGGUGGAUUUUUAAGUCAGGGGUGAAAUCCUGGAGCUCAACUCCAGAACUGCCUUUGAUACUGGGAAUCUUGAGUUCGGGAGAGGUGAGUGGAACUGCGAGUGUAGAGGUGAAAUUCGUAGAUAUUCGCAAGAACACCAGUGGCGAAGGCGGCUCACUGGCCCGAUACUGACACUGAGGCACGAAAGCGUGGGGAGCAAACAGGAUUAGAAACCCUGUAGUCC
rnacentral:rRNA from 1 species